AGCAGCCGCGGUAAUUCCAGCUCCAAUAGCGUAUAUUAAAGUUGCUGCAGUUAAAAAGCUCGUAGUUGAAUUUCGGGACCAUCAUGUCGGUCGUGCCUCGGUACGUACUGGCAUUGUUGGUUUCUCCCUUCUGACGAACCUUGAUGUCAUUAAUUUGGUGUCUUGGGGAAUCAGGACUGUUACUUUGAAAAAUUAGAGUGUUUAAAGCAGGCUCACGCUUGAAUACAUUAGCAUGGAAUAAUGAAAUAGGAUGUUUGAUUCUAUUUUGUUGGUUUCUAGGAUCGACGUAAUGAUUAAUAGGGAUAGUUGGGGCAUUAGUAUUCAAUUGUCAGAGGUGAAAUUCUUGGAUUUAUUGAAGACUAACUACUGCGAAAGCAUUUGCCAAGGAUGUUUUCAUUAAUACAAGAACGAAAGUUAGGGGAUCGAAGACGAUCAGAUACCGUCGUAGUC
rnacentral:rRNA from 1 species